rnacentral:rRNA from 1 species
AGCGAACGCUGGCGGCAGGCCUAACACAUGCAAGUCGAACGAACCUUUCGGGGUUAGUGGCGGACGGGUGAGUAACACGUGGGAACGUGCCUUUAGGUUCGGAAUAACUCAGGGAAACUUGUGCUAAUACCGAAUGUGCCCUUCGGGGGAAAGAUUAAUCGCCUUUAGAGGGGCCCGCGUCUGAUUAGCUAGUUGGUUGAGGUAAUGGCUCACCAAGGCGACGAUCAGUAGCUGGUCUGAGAGGAUGAUCAGCCACAUUGGGACUGAGACACGGCCCAAACUCCUACGGGAGGCAGCAGUGGGGAAUAUUGCGCAAUGGGCGAAAGCCUGACGCAGCCAUGCCGCGUGAAUGAUGAAGGUCUUAGGAUUGUAAAAUUCUUUCACCGGGGACGAUAAUGACGGUACCCGGAGAAGAAGCCCCGGCUAACUUCGUG